rnacentral:rRNA from 1 species
AGUGAACGCUGGCGGUAGGCCUAACACACGCAAGUCGAACGGCAGCACAGAGGAGCUUGCUCCUUGGGUGGCGAGUGGCGGACGGGUGAGGAAUACAUCGGAAUCUCAUCUGUCGUGGGGGAUAACGUAGGGAAACUUACGCCAAUACCGCAUACGACCUACGGGUGAAAGCAGGGGACCUUCGGGCCUUGCGCGAUUGAAUGAGCCGAUGUCGGGUUAGCUAGUUGGCGGGGUAAAGGCCCACCAAGGCGACGAUCCGUAGCUGGUCUGAGAGGAUGAUAAGCCACACUGGAACUGAGACACGGUCCAGACUCCUACGGGAGGCAGCAGUGGGGAAUAUUGGACGAUGGGCGCAAGCCUGAUCCAGCCAUACCGCGUGGGUGAAGAAGGCCUUCGGGUUGUAAAGCCCUUUUGUUGGGAAAGAAAUCCGGCUGGCUAAUACCCGGUUGGGAUGACGGUACCCAAAGAAUAAGCACCGGCUAACUUCGUGCCAGCCGCCGCGGUAA